AGUGGCGAACGGGUGAGUAACACGUGAGUAACCUGCCCUUAACUCUGGGAUAAGCCUUGGAAACGGGGUCUAAUACUGGAUAUUGACUUUACCUCGCAUGGGGUUUUGUUGAAAGAUUUAUUGGUUUUGGAUGGACUCGCGGCCUAUCAGCUUGUUGGUGAGGUAAUGGCUCACCAAGGCGACGACGGGUAGCCGGCCUGAGAGGGUGACCGGCCACACUGGGACUGAGACACGGCCCAGACUCCUACGGGAGGCAGCAGUGGGGAAUAUUGCACAAUGGGCGAAAGCCUGAUGCAGCGACGCCGCGUGAGGGAUGACGGCCUUCGGGUUGUAAACCUCUUUCAGUAGGGAACAAGGCCAGCAUUUUUGUUGGUUGAGGGUACUUGCAGAAGAAGCGCCGGCUAACUACGUGCCAGCAGCCGCGGUAAUACGUAGGGCGCAAGCGUUAUCCGGAAUUAUUGGGCGUAAAGAGCUCGUAGGCGGUUUGUCGCGUCUGCCGUGAAAGUCCGGGGCUCAACUCCGGAUCUGCGGUGGGUACGGGCAGACUAGAGUGAUGUAGGGGAGACUGGAAUUCCUGGUGUAGCGGUGAAAUGCGCAGAUAUCAGGAGGAACACCGAUGGCGAAGGCAGGUCUCUGGGCAUUAACUGACGCUGAGGAGCGAAAGCAUGGGGAGCGAACAGGAUUAGAUACCCUGGUAGUCCAUGCCGUAAACGUUGGGCACUAGGUGUGGGGGACAUUCCACGUUUUCCGCGCCGUAGCUAACGCAUUAAGUGCCCCGCCUGGGGAGUACGGCCGCAAGGCUAAAACUCAAAGGAAUUGACGGGGGCCCGCACAAGCGGCGGAGCAUGCGGAUUAAUUCGAUGCAACGCGAAGAACCUUACCAAGGCUUGACAUGAACUGGAAAUACCUGGAAACAGGUGCCCCGCUUGCGGUCGGUUUACAGGUGGUGCAUGGUUGUCGUCAGCUCGUGUCGUGAGAUGUUGGGUUAAGUCCCGCAACGAGCGCAACCCUCGUUCUAUGUUGCCAGCACGUAAUGGUGGGGACUCAUAGGAGACUGCCGGGGUCAACUCGGAGGAAGGUGAGGACGACGUCAAAUCAUCAUGCCCCUUAUGUCUUGGGCUUCACGCAUGCUACAAUGGCCGGUACAAUGGGUUGCGAUACUGUGAGGUGGAGCUAAUCCCAAAAAGCCGGUCUCAGUUCGGAUUGGGGUCUGCAACUCGACCCCAUGAAGUCGGAGUCGCUAGUAAUCGCAGAUCAGCAACGCUGCGGUGAAUACGUUCCCGGGCCUUGUACACACCGCCCGUCAAGUCACGAAAGUUGGUAACACC
rnacentral:rRNA from 1 species